rnacentral:rRNA from 1 species
UACGAAGGGGGCUAGCGUUGUUCGGAAUUACUGGGCGUAAAGCGCACGUAGGCGGGCUCUUAAGUCGGUGGUGAAAUCCUGGAGCUCAACUCCAGAACUGCCUCCGAUACUGAGAGUCUUCGAGUCCGGGAGAGGUGAGUGGAACUGCGAGUGUAGAGGUGAAAUUCGUAGAUAUUCGCAAGAACACCAGUGGCGAAGGCGGCUCACUGGCCCGGUACUGACGCUGAGGUGCGGAAAGCGUGGGGAGCAAACAGG